rnacentral:rRNA from 1 species
UACCCGAAAACAUUUCGAACUCGAUUAGUC